rnacentral:rRNA from 1 species
GGUUUGAUCAUGGCUCAGAUUGAACGCUGGCGGGAUGCUUUACACAUGCAAGUCGAACGGCAGCACGGACUUUCGGUCUGGUGGCGAGUGGCGAACGGGUGAGUAAUGUAUCGGAACGACUAUAGCGGGGGAUAACUACGCUGAAAGCGUAGCUAAUACCGUACACGCCCUUCGGGGGAAAGCGGGGGACCUUCGGGCCCGCACUAUUAGAGCGGCUGAUAUCGGAUUAGCUAGUUGCGGGGUAACGGCUCACCAAGGCGGUUACGAUCCGUAGCUGGUUUGAGAGGACGACCAGCCACACUGGGACUGAGACACGGCCUAGACUACGGGAGGCGGCAGUGGGGAAUUUUGGACAAUGUGGAAACCCUGAUCCAGCCAUCCCGCGUGUGCGAUGAAGGCCUUCGGGUUGUAAAGCACUUUUGGCAGGAAAGAAACGGCACGGGAUAUCACCCCGUGCAACUGACGGUACCUGCAGAAUAAGCACCGGCAACUACGUGCCAGCAGCCGCGGUAAUACGUAGGGUGCAAGCGUUAAUCGGAAUUACUGGGCGUAAAGCGCAGGCGGUUCGGAAAGAAAGAUGUGAAAUCCCAGAGCUUAACUUUGGAACUGCAUUUAACUACCGAGCUAGAGUGUGUCAGAGGGAGGUGGAAUUCCGCGUAGCAGUGAAAUGCGUAGAUAUGCGGAGGAACACCGAUGGCGAAGGCAGCCUCCUGGGAUAACACUGACGCUCAUGCACGAAAGCGUGGGGAGCAACAGAUUAGAUACUCUGGUAGUCCACGCCCUAAACGUGGAUGUCAACUAGCUAGCCCGGCCUUGGCAGCUAAUGCAGAAGUUGACUGGCCUGGGGAGUACGGUCGCAAGAUUAAAAACUAAAGAAUUGAUGGGACUGCACAAGCGGUGGAUGAUGUGAUUAAUUCGAUGCACGCGAAAAACCUUACCUACCCUUGACAUGUCUUUGGAAUCCUGAAGAGAUUUGGGAGUGCUCGCAAGAGAACCGGAACACAGGUGCUGCAUGGCUGUCGUCAGCUCGUGUCGUGAGAUGUUGGGUUAAGUCCCGCAACGAGCGCAACCCUUGUCAUUAGUUGCUACGAAAGGGCACUGACGAGACUGCCGUGACAAACCGGAGGAAGGUGGGGAUGACGUCAAGUCCUCACCCUAUGGGUAGGGCUUCACACGUCAUACAAUGGUCGGGACGAGGUCGCUAACCCGCGAGGGGGAGCUAAUCCAGAAACCCGGAUCUGUAGUCCGGAUCGCAGUCUGCAACUGACUGCGUGAAGCUGGAAUCGCUUAGUAAUCGCGGAUCAGCAUGUCGCGGUGAAUACGUUCCGGUCUUGUACACACCGCCCGUCACACCAUGGGAGUGGGUUUUACCAAAGGUUUAGCCCAACCGCAAGGAGGCAUUACCACGGUAGGAUUCAUGACUGGGGUGAAGUCGUAACAAGGUAA